rnacentral:tRNA from 3 species
ACUCUCGUAGCCCAAUUGGCAGAGGCGGCAGGCUUAGACCCUGCGCGAUGGGGGUUCGAAUCCCUCCGGGAGUAC